UAUCUCGGUCCUAAAGUAGAGUCCCACCUCUGGCCACGAUUUGUCUUGGUCAUUUAUUUGUGUAAUAUCUUAGGUACUGGGUGAUAAGGCAAUGAAUAAGAGAGACAUAGUGCUUAUUUUCACAGUCUCUCAAGGAGAUAGACCCAAACAAAUUACUACACAGACAAAUAUUUGUGUUUGUGGGAAAAGUUAUGAAAGAAAACACAACAUCCAAUGAACCUUUAUUAAAGGGGCAUCUAACUUUACCUGAAGACAAGAGGAAGAUUGUGGUGUCAGUUUUUAAAAUAGAAAGGAAUACUGAGUGGAAGUUAGCUAAUUUGCAUGUUGCCUCUAUAGAUGUUCCCGCUGUCACUUUUCAGUGAUUCAGGGGAACGUGCACACCUGACUGUGUGUCCUGGAACCCAGUGAGGAGGACACCAGAGAUUCCACUGGGGAAGGACAAGCAAAGAUGAGGCUCCAUCUCACCUCUACUUACAGGCUGCGAGGAAAUAGGUUGCUGAAUUGGGAGUCAAGCUGCAAUUCAUCAUGAAGUCAGUGUCUGUCUGACCUCAGUGCCCUUGUUCUGAUUCCUGACCUGCAUUUUAGUUUCCCUGGUACUGAGGACUGCUGUGGACCCUCAAUUCCUCAUGCUCAGAUCCAAGAACCCAGUUUCUCCCAACUGUCCCCAGAACUUCUGGCUGCUGCUCACUUGUGUGUUGGAUCUUUGCUGGAAAGGCUCUGAACUGGAUGAUGUCUGGGGCUCUUACGAGAUCCUUGGAGCACUGGGGAGGUCACCACUUUGUGGGGAAUUGUGACUGAAUGACUACCAGGGGACCACGUGUGGCAGCUGGCUUGUUGAAGACACUGAGCCAAGACAAAGCGGCCCUUCAGUUCCUGGGAAACCUGGAUUUUCUCUGUGUCUAAAGCCAGUGUAGACCAGUCUUCCAGCUCUGCCUCCUCAGAUAAGAAACCCGAAGCUUGCAGAUGUGAACUAACCUAGGAGGAAGCAGACAACAGCUCAAUCCUGAGUACCCUCAAGAGCCACAUAAAGAAGCAAGAUUAACCUCAUCCACUUCCAUCAGGGGAGAGCAGCAUUUUCUCAGAUCCGGAAAUUUGCAAGAAGAGCUUCCCAGUGAACAUCACCACCGUAUCCAUGAAGCUUGCUGGAAAACAUGACUAAAUGUGAUUACACUGAACUUUCCAGAAUGUGGAGACCAAUAACUCUAGUUUUCAUUCUAUCUGUAUUCUGGGUGCACUAGACCUCAUUCAGUAUUUUACUACCAUUUUUAGGUAUGUGGGAGUGCUUUGUGGAAGUAAUUAAUGUCUUAAAUAUAUGUAAAGUCUUUUCAUAUUGGA